AAAGUAAGCGUUAUCUUUCAGAAGAAGCAAUAUUUGACUCUAAUGGGUUUCAAAAUAAAAGUUUUCUUGAAAGCAACCUCCCUUUCUCAAAAAAGCAAGAACUUACAAUAACUUUUAAUCAUUUUAAAAGAUGGUAUAAUAGUUUAGAGCCGACACUUCACCAAAGCUUAAAUGAACAAGACUUAUAUAUUCUUUCGCUGUUCGUUGCAACUCGUUUUAACCAGAUUCAAAAAUUACUUAUAAAGUUAGAGGAAGAACAGCACGAAAAAGAAAGGGACUUGUUUAAUAUAAGACAAAUACGAGUUGAUGAGAAUCGCCAACAAGUCGAAGAUCUGAAGGAAUCUAAUCCAAGUAUAACUGAGGAGGAACUUGAUAAAUUAAAAUCUUCUCUGGAUAGAGAGCUUUGUGAACUAGAUAAAACUAUUAUCUGUGAAUUGGACCAUAUUUGCUUAAACCAACUGAUAGCUUUAAGAGACGCUCAAGUACCGCUUUUUCGAGUGACUUACAGAGCCGAAGACUUGAAA